AUUAUUCUAUAAAUAAAGGGUGAGUUUACUGUUACACUGUUCAUAAGAGUUGGAAAAGGCGUGUUUGUCCUCACUGUUCGAGGAGAAUAUCAAGCUGGUGGAAAAGUCGAUUUCGUCCUUACUUUUGUUAGUGUUGGAUAGGUAUCACGAUCGGGAUUUGAGUGGUUUACAUCAACAUCAGAAAGAGCGAAAGAAGAGAGAGGAAAGAAUAGAGGAAAGGAGAAGAUCUCGGUGACAAUAGACCGGUUGCAAGCUGUGAAACUCGGAUUGUAUUGCUAAUCUCAGAAUACAUAGUUGUACUGAAAACAAAUAGAACAAAUUCUGUGGGUUCUACAGUUUUAGAUCCGGGUAACUCACUGCAAGAACUUCAAGGUUUAAAACAGAAUAGCAACUAAAGUGUCAAAGCUGCAGAGUUUCAAAUAAAAGUGACAGUGGCCUCCAAAUCAUGCUUCAGCACUGGCAAGAGAGUGAUUGAUCCACAUCAGAGUUCAUUAACUCCUAGAUCUGUGGAGGCCUUAAUUUGCCUCCAAAAUUGGCUAAAGUCUGAUAGUAUUCAAGGCCUAGAAUACACUCCUACACCUGAGGAAAUGGUGUGGCUUGAAGCUGUUGAGAAAGAACAAGAGAAAGAAGAAAAAGAAAAAAGAGAGAAGCGUGAUGCAGAGAAGGCAGCAAAGGCCCCAAAAACUGCACAAGAAGUCUGAUGCAGCAAAAGUAGCCAAAAAAUGAUCAAACUGAAAUAUUGAAGUUGGACAUAUGCUUGUUGUCUUGGAGAUUUGCUUGUUUCCUUGCUGCCCAGCUGCAUUCCUACUUCAGGAUUCAAAUCAUGAAUUGAACUUAAUGUCUUUUCUGUGUUAUUUAUUAAGUUUUCAAUUUGUUGAGCUUGAACUUUGAUGUUUAA